rnacentral:rRNA from 1 species
CCUACGGGUGGCAGCAGUGGGGAAUAUUGCACAAUGGGGGAAACCCUGAUGCAGCAACGCCGCGUGAGUGAAGAAGGAUUUCGGUAUGUAAAGCUCUAUCAGCACGGAAGAAGAAAGACGGUACCUGACUACGAAGCCCCGGCUAACUACGUGCCAGCAGCCUCGUUACUACGGAGGGGGCAAGCGUUAUCCGGAUUUACUGGGUGUAAAGGGAGCGUAGACGGCUGUGCAAGUCUGAAGUGAAAGCCCGUGGCUCAACCGGGGAACUGCAUUGGGAACUGUAUAGUUUGAGUACUGGGGAGGCAGGCGGAAUUCCUAGUGUAGCGGUGAAAGGCGUAGAUAUGAGGAGGAACACCAGUGGCGAAGGCGGCCUGCUGGACAGAAACUGACGUUGAGGCUCGAAAGCGUGGGGAGCGAACAGGAUUAGAUACCCGAGUAGUC